rnacentral:lncRNA from 1 species
GUUUCUUUAGUGCAAAAAUUAGAUUUUAGCUAAUUAAUUAAAAAUAUUUAUUAAAUAAUGAUAAUAAAGCCACUAUUAUACUAUUCAUGAUCACAUAUUCACAAUUAUAGGUCACAGAUUUUAUUUAUCAGUCACAUAUCAUCAAAUUAAUUGGUCAUAGAUUUUUUCGAGGUUACAAAUCACAAUUUUGAAAAGUCACAGAUUAUGUCGAGGUUACAGAUCAAAAAAUUAUAGCCACAGGUUACAUAUUUUCAAAUUUAAUAGUCACAUAUUACUUUUUUUAGUCACAGAUGAUCGAAUUUUAAAGUCAUAGGUCAAAUAGUCAGUGACCACCAACUCCACUGCCACCACCGUCACUUGCAACUACCCUCACCCCGUCGUCGCCACCACCACCACCACGGCCAACACCAACAUCAACAAAAUCGAUGCAACCAAAUCCAAUGUCGCCACCAAACACACAAAAAAAAAACCACCACCAAAACAUGACGACCGACUACACCACACCCCACCAACAGCACACCAUCAUCACUAGCAAACAUCACCAACCGCAAAAUCACUACCACACACAAAAACACCAUAACCACAGCUUCAUUGCAACAUCCACACCCAAAAAAAGCGCCACUCAUAUCAGGGCCGAGAUUCUCUUCCAACACCACGGCACCCACAACACACACACCUGGAACUUCACCAACACUACCGCGUCCAAUCACACCACCCAUCUCACAUUAUUGAUCUCCAACACCACCACACAAAUUAGCACACAUACUACAGAUUUCGACAGCUGCAGCAAAUCAGGCACCGACGCUCAGAUCGCUCGUAGCGGCACCGAAGCUGUGAAUAGCUCGUAGCACCAUCGACACUCGCCACAGCGAGGCGAGUGGCACUCAAAUUUCGACAGCUGCAGCAAAUUAGGAUCAGGCAAGCGGCGCUCAGAUUGCUCACAAAUCAGGAGAGAGGCUCUCAGAUUUCACUUACGUCGCAGGCUGCGAAGGUGGUGCACUGUAGCAACUAUGCCGCUGCUCGACUCUUAGGUGUCUCCGACAGUGG